AAAAAAAAAAAAACCAAUUAGUGUUUGAAAAAGUGUGCGAGUGUGAACAGAUUCCCUCAUUCUUCCAUCAAGGAAACUGAUUUGGGACGGUGAAUGGUCUCACAGCCAGGACAGUUAUGCAAGCUCUCGUGGAUGUAUAUGUCGCAGUCCAGACAGAAAUAGUGCUUGGUUCGAACAAAAUUACUCAGUUUAAAUGAUCCUAACUAGCUUGGUUCGAUCCAUCAUCCCGUAGAAUUCAUCCAUAGUGCUUGAGUAUCGUUUGCCGUUCUCAAAACCAGAAAUUCAUUUUGUUUUCUCGGAUGCUAAGACUUUUCAUGUCGUCUCCAGGAGCAGCGCAGUGCCUAGGUGUUGAGGGGCCUAAGGCAAAAAUAAUUGUUUUUCCUAAAAUUUAGUAAUAAACUUUGUAUCACAUAAAACUCUCAAAACCAUAUAUUUAAUAUUUAUAAAUAUAUAUGAAGAACAAAACAUAUUAUUUCUUAAAAAAUAUAUAAGCUAUUCAGUUUUGUAAACAAAAAGUAAAAACAUAUAUACAAAUAUUCAAUAUUAUCUAAGACGAUUUGUAAUAUUUAAUUAAAUAUAUGUUGAUUUAAAUAGGCUAAAAGGCAACUUAGAUAUGUAUUAUUACAAAUUUGCAAAUAAAACUACAUGAGCUAAAAAAAAUUAUGAUAAAAAAAAUUAAAAAUGAAGACAAAAAUAAAGCAAAAAGAUUUUAAGAAUACAUAUGAAAGUUUAAAUAUUAUCAAUAUAUAAUAGCAAACCUAAUUUGUGUUAAGUGAUGAUGUCAUCAUUUUUUUUAUAGGAAAAAAAAAGAAGAUUUAACGUUCCAGAUUGAUUUUAAAAUCAAUCUAGGGGUUCUGAUUUUCUAGGUGAUGUCAUCAUAAAAAAAUAGAAUUUAAUCCAACGGUUGAAAUUAGCAAACCUUUUAAUCGAAGGGCUACCGAAGCUUCGUGUCUGUAGUGAAGCAUUGCGUCCAUUACUGGAACUGUGACCUUUGGUUCACAUCUCUUCCUCUGUUUAUAUUUGAUAAUCAGUUUACUGUUCCUCUUUUUCUCACUUUUCUUUUUACUCAUGAUUUCUGAUUCGAUUUUCUGACAAACCAAAUUUUAUCUCCCGAUCAUCCACCAUUCAUGACCAGUGAGUUGCCAUUAACAUCCUCGAUCAUUGAAGCUUCCUUUAUGAAGUGGUCAAGAGGGAGAGGAAACUCCGAGUUGGUGUUGAUGAGAAUGUGGAACGUGUGGAUGGGUUUGGAAGUGAAGAUUAACGAGUUCUUGAUGAACUUCAAGAACCUGCUAAAGGCGAAGAAUUGGUGAUUAAAACUGUGGAAGCUGAUGAGUUCCUGGUUGCUGUCUCGCCGGAGGAUGUGGUAGCAAAGGAGAAUGGUAGUUCGUGAAGAAGACGGACCGAGAGGGUCCGCAGAAGAAAGAAGUGGAGAAACCGGUGAUGAACGCCAUGAGUUAUUGUUCGAACGGUGGAAGAUGAACAUACUUGUUCUAUAAAAACUUGGAAACAUGAGUAAAGAGGAGGCAAUGGAGCAAUAUCUUGCACUUGUUUCAGAGGAGAUCCCUGGUUUGAUUAAUAUUGGUCAUACUGUGAUUUGUUAGAUAUUGAGGUUUAAAAUUUCAUCUGGAAGUCUUUAAUGGCUUUUGAGAUCUGACAAACUGACUUAUUUACUCUUCUCUCUCUCUACAAUUAGGGAAGAUGCCAGAAACGGGAUCACUAGAAGAUAUGACCACCUUAGACACAACUGGUGUUGCAUCCAGCAAAAAUAGUAAAAUUAAUUAGUAAAUGACAUCUUUGUUUCGGCUGUUUCUUGUAUCUUUCAUUCUAAUAUUCAGUUAUCUUUUCCCUUUUCUAACUGCAGGGUAACUCGUAGAAGAGACAAUAAGAAGAGAAUUCUUUUAACGAGAGUGUUUUCCAAAAUUGCAUUAUGAUUUACAGAUCUAUGCCAUUCAAUAUUUUGUAGGACUAUUUUAAUCUUCAGGAUGUAAGCACUUAUCAGCUACUAGAAUGAAACUUCAAUUUUUAUUGUUA